UACGAGGGGCCCAAACGUUAUUCGGAAUUACUGGGCUUAAAGAGUUCGUAGGCGGCAUUGUAAGUCGGGUGUGAAAGCCCUCGGCUCAACCGAGGAAUUGCGCUCUAAACUGUCGUGCUUGAGGAACCUAGAGGUGAGCAGAACAGAUGGUGGAGCGGUGAAAUGCGUUGAUAUCAGCUGGAAUACCGGAGGCGAAGGCGGCUCACUGGGAGUUUUCUGACGCUGAGGAACGAAAGCCAGGGUAGCGAACGGG
rnacentral:rRNA from 1 species